rnacentral:rRNA from 1 species
UGGGGAAUAUUGCACAAUGGGCGCAAGCCUGAUGCAGCAAUGCCGCGUGAGUGAAGACGGCCUUAGGGUUGUAAAACUCUUUCGCUAGGGAAGAUAAUGACGGUACCUAGUAAAGAAGUCCCGGCUAACUCCGUGCCAGCAGCCGCGGUAAUACGGAGGGGACUAGCGUUGUUCGGAAUUACUGGGCGUAAAGCGCACGUAGGCGGACCAGAAAGUUGGGGGUGAAAUCCCGGGGGCUCAACCCCGGAACUGCCUUGGAUACUGUCGGGCUCGAGGCUGGAAGAGGGUGAUGGAAUUCCCGGUGUAGCGGUGAAAUGCGUAGAUAUUUGGAGGAACACCAGUGGCGAAGGCGGCUCACUGGCUCGAUACUGACGCUGAGGUGCGAAAGUGUGGGGAGCAAACAGGAUUAGAUACCCUGGUAGUCCACACCGUAAACGAUGAAUGCCAGUCGUCGGUAGCAUGCUAUUCGGUGACACACCUAACGGAUUAAGCAUUCCGCCUGGGGAGUACGGUCGCAG